rnacentral:rRNA from 1 species
UACGGAGGGUGCAAGCGUUAUCCGGAUUCACUGGGUUUAAAGGGUGCGUAGGCGGGCAUGUAAGUCCGUGGUGAAAUCUCCGAGCUUAACUCGGAAACUGCCAUGGAUACUAUGUGUCUUGAAUGUUGUGGAGGUGAGCGGAAUAUGUCAUGUAGCGGUGAAAUGCUUAGAUAUUCGGAGGAACACCAGUGGCGAAGGCAGCUGGCUACACAAAUAUUGACACUGAGGCACGAAAGCGUGGGGAUCAAACAGG